CCGGGUAAAAAGCCAUUUUCCCUGAGUCUGCAUUCUGUGCGUCUAAAUGGAUGUGACAAAGGAACUUCUUUCAUGGAGGACAACACAUUUUUCAUGCCAUUUAGAAGUGUUGCAAUAACAACAUGUUCCCUGCUGUCAAGAUGUGUUGGAUAAAUGAAAAAAUGCAUCGUCAUAACAACGACUUGUGAGGUCACAGACAUCUCCAUGGUGAAUUCAGUAGAACACAGGUUUUAAACAUUAGUGACUGGUCCCGCCAUGGUCCCAUGUAUUUAAGUUGCUCAGACAUUUAGAUAUUCAUUCCAGACAUACCUCAUGCAUAGCGCUCCAGCUAUCGACUGCUACCUGCUCUCCCAACAGACGUGCCAUAAACGUGUUGACAACUAGGACCUCUGUCACUGAGGUGCUUGUAACAAAGAUCACCCAGGUCCGUGUGAUUUAACAAAGAAAGCACUGAAAAAAAAACUGCGCUGCUUGGUAAAGAGACAUUAAAGAUCAUGAAAAAUUUUAUGGCAGCGGCCAAACAAGAUGUACGUUACAAAGCAAUAGAAUUCUUGUCUUUACACUGAGGCGCGGCGGUGUUCAGCUGGUCUCCCUUUGAUAUUUGACACAAUCGAUUUAUUUAUUGAACUUUGACCUCUCACUCUAGUCAGUCAACAAUACCUUUAGGUUUCCAUAGUAACAUUACAAAAAAAAUUGGUUUUUCCUAUCCAAAGAGGUAGGCACCCGGUCAUUAUAUAUGGACACUUUUUAGUGUUCUGUUGAGUUCCUGAUAUAAUUAAUACCAUGAUCUGUAAAAAUUAUGUCUUACAUUUAUUUCCAUCAUUUGUUUGUUCCAUUGUAACAUACCAGCAUUGGUACUUCUAUGAGCCUGUAUGGAGAUACAUGUACUAUCUUAACUAGUUGAUGACGGUACAUUAUACUCGUUAGAUGAGAGUAUAAGAUAAUAGUAAGACUAACAUUAGCCCAAAGAAUUUGAUAAUAGUAUCAGUAUUUAGAUCUAGCAUCAUUGAGACAGGGGGCAUUUAUACGAUGCUCUCGUAGAUCUCUGUUGUUUCAUUCUGUAAUGGUUCGUGUUAUGGGCUGAUUUCACUAUUUAUUGGUUAGUGUAACGGGCUGAUACGAGUCAGGAAUGUUUCACAGCUCUUUGUUUUAUGAUCCCAAUUUUCUGUGAUAAAAAAAUGCUGC
rnacentral:misc_RNA from 1 species